GAUGAACGCUGGCGGCGUGCCUAAUACAUGCAAGUCGAGCGAACAGACGAGGAGCUUGCUCCUCUGACGUUAGCGGCUGACGGGUGAGUAACACGUGGAUAACCUACCUAUAAGACUGGGAUAACUUCGGGAAACCGGAGCUAAUACCGGAUAAUAUAUUGAACCGCAUGGUUCAAUAGUGAAAGACGGUUUUGCUGUCACUUAUAGAUGGAUCCGCGCCGCAUUAGCUAGUUGGUAAGGUAACGGCUUACCAAGGCAACGAUGCGUAGCCGACCUGAGAGGGUGAUCGGCCACACUGGAACUGAGACACGGUCCAGACUCCUACGGGAGGCAGCAGUAGGGAAUCUUCCGCAAUGGGCGAAAGCUUGACGGAGCAACGCCGCGUGAGUGAUGAAGGUCUUCGGAUCGUAAAACUCUGUUAUUAGGGAAGAACAAAUGUGUAAGUAACUAUGCACGUCUUGACGGUACCUAAUCAGAAAGCCACGGCUAACUAAGUG
rnacentral:rRNA from 1 species